CGUUUCUGUGGAGCUUUACUGAACGCUGCGUUGACUCAGACACCAGGUCCCAUUUGUAUUAAACAAAACAGCAGCAGAGUUUAUUUAGGACAACAAAAGUUGCAAAAGCCACCAAAAGCCUUAAAUGUGCAAAAUAAAGUUAAUCACAGAUGAAGAUGGUUUCUUCUUCCCCUGCCUGCCAGAGCAAUGCAGACAGGUAUCACAUCAGGGCAAAGGACAUCAGUCAGGUUCGAAAUACUUCUUCAUUUCUAUCUGCACGGGUCAAAAAUUAACUCAAACUUAGCACUAAAAUGAGGAUUUGAGAAACCCAGAGCCAUCAGCACCAGCAUAAGUCACCUACCGUAGAAAAUAAAACCAAAUAAAACCCGCAACUGAAAAUGAGACUUGUGUUAUCACAAACAAAACAAGUUACUUACUGCAUGAGGCCUCCUGAAUCUGGUUCCCUGAAGCUAUAAGAAAGCUUCAGUUAAUGCCCUUCAGCCUCAAAAGCAGGUUAUUUUUAUGAUACGACAAAGCAAAAAGGGUGUUCAAACAGCACUUCAGUGCAUGCUGUCACUCACACACCUUGACAAAGGAAGGAUUCCUUGUUUUAACCUUCUGCUCUCUUGGCAGUUGUUCUGCUGCAGAUGUCUCACCCACAGCACAUCCGUGUAACAACAAAGUAAAGACUCAUGGUGCCUUCUGCUUCAUCUGUGUUUCCCUCCCUCAUCCUAAACCCCAACGAGCAUCUCUCUGUAGAAUGGCUUUUUAAGGAAACUGAAACCCAUCACCAUGCUUCACACAUGGACCUGCGAGAAAGGAAAUUCCCCCAACACAUCUGCUGAUGUGGGGAACACAGUUGCUGCUCCCCACCUUAACCUGGGAUCUCAUUUUGGAUUUGUCUGAAGACAGUUUGUAGGGACUCCAGGAAGAGAUUUCUCAGAUUAGGACAAGUUGGAAAAUAUUCCUGAAGAUUGUGACAAGUUACAGAUUUUCAAAUAUGUUUAUGAACUUCGAGACUUCAUGAUGAGCUGCAGUGCCAAGGGGCAGGUGCCUCAGUCCCUGGGCAGAGAAAAGAAAUAGUAUACUUCAAUUCACACUUACAUAUGCAGAUUCUCUGU
rnacentral:lncRNA from 1 species